rnacentral:lncRNA from 1 species
UUGUCGAUCCAACUCGUGCGUGAAAAGAGCUAAUCUAAUGGAGAAUCGAAAGGAUACACCCAUCUCCUCUUCUUCUUCGCCGCUCUUUCCCUCUCGGAUAGUGUUGGUGAUCAUUCUCGUGAUCAUUAUAUGUGCUACACAUGUGCAGGAGGCAGAAGCAGGUAUAGACAUAUGUUCUUUACUAUGGCAUGCAUGCAGUAAAUUUUUGCUUUUCUUAAUAAUGAUCUGUUAAUUACUAACUGUUUUUGUUUGUUUUUGUGAAAGUGAGGGGAAGGGAUUUGGGCGGGCAUGGUGGAUUUGCACCUGCAACGCCAGCCGGCAAUCCGAACAAGAACAACAUAUGUGGCCUCAACUGCUCGCCGCCACUACGACAGAAGUGGGCUUUCCAAAAUUGGAGAAAGGAGAAUAAUCCAUAGUGAAUCAAAUCAUCCUAAACAUGCCUGCAUGGAAGUGCGAUCAGCGGAAUGAUCAUUCUGCUUAAUGAGAAAAGUUCAUUAUGAGGCUUUGUAGGAUGUGGUUUGAGGAGACUUGCUAGACAUGAUAUGUACGUAUUCGUUUGUUCAAAUCCUAUUUAUGUGAGAUUCUAAUUCCUUCGAUCUCAUUCUAACAAAUUUCUUUGGCAAUCGGUUACACAAAAUGGGGGGAAAAAGGACAAAAAGUGCAAGGAUGAUAAGACCCACUUCCCACGCUGAACAAAUUUUAUUUUGUAUUCACAAAAAUUUUG